rnacentral:rRNA from 1 species
CCAGUAGUCAUAUGCUUGUCUUAAAGAUUAAGCCAUGCAUGUCUAAGUAUAAGCGUUAGCACAGCGAGACUGCGAAUGGCUCAUUAAAUCAGUUAUAGUUUAUUUGAUGGUACAUACUACUUGGAUAACCGUAGUAAUUCUAGAGCUAAUACAUGCUUAAAGCCUGGCCUCGGCCAGGUGCAUUUGUUAGGUACAAGCCAAUACCCGGCCGCAAGGCUGGGUUUCUGGUGAUUCUGGACAACUGAGCGGAGCUAAUGGCCUCGAGCCGUUGCCGCUUCAUUCAAAUUUCUGCCCUAUCAACUUUUGAUGGUAGUGUAGUGGACUACCAUGGUUAUAACGGGUAACGGGGAAUUAGGGUUCGGUUCCGGAGAGGGAGCCUGAGAGAUGGCUACCACUUCCAAGGAAGGCAGCAGGCGCGCAAAUUACCCAAUUACAAUACGUAGAGGUAGUGACAAUAAAUAACGAUACGGGGGCCGCAAGGUCUUCGUAAUCGGAAUGAGAGCAAUUCAAAACCCUCAUCGAGGAUCAAUUGGAGGACAAGUCUGGUGCCAGCACCCGCGGUAAUUCCAGCUCCAAUAGCGUAUAUUAAAGUUGUUGCAGUUAAAAAGCUCGUAGUUGGAUUCUGAUGCCCCUGGAAGCGAUCCGCCGGGAGGUGUGUAUUGCUUCUGAGGGCUCCUCUUCUGGCUGGCUCAGCCUGCUCUUAACUGAGUGGGCUGCGGCCUCCAGAUCGUUUACUUUGAAAAAAUUAGAGUGUUUAAAGCAGGCCUUAGCGCCUUGAAUAUAUUAGCAUGGGAUAAUGGAAUAGGACCCCUGGUUUCUUCCGUUGGCUUGGAAUCACGGGUAAUGAUUAAUAGCGAUAGUUGGGGGUGUUCAUAUUUAAUUGUCAGAGGUGAAAUUCUUGGAUUUAUGAAAGAUGAACACAGCGAAAGCAUUCACACGGACAUUCGCAUUAUCAGAACGAAAGUUAUGGAUCGAGACGAUCAGAUACCGUCGUAGUCUUAACUAUAAACGAUGCCGACUAGGG